AUUGAACGCUGGCGGCAGGCCUAACACAUGCAAGUCGAACGAGUGGCGGACGGGUGAGUAAUGUCUGGGAAACUGCCUGAUGGAGGGGGAUCACUACUGGAAACGGUAGCUAAUACCGCAUACCAUCAGCUUUGCCCAGAUGGGAUUGGCUUGUUGGUGGGGUAACGCCUCACCAAGUCGACGAUCCCUAGCUGGUCUGAGAGGAUGACAACACACACUGGAACUGAGCCACGGUCCAGACUCCUACGGGAGGCAGCAGUGGGGAAUAUUGCACAAUGGGCGCAAGCCUGAUGCAGCCAUGCCGCGUGUAUGAAGAAGGCCUUCGGGUUGUAAAGUACUUUCAGCGGGGAGGCGUUACCCGCAGAGGAAGCACCGGCUAACGCCGUGCCAGCAGCCGCGGUAAUUC
rnacentral:rRNA from 1 species